GCCGCGCUGGUCCAACAGCAGGACAUCCGGCUCUGAACCGGAAGGUCGGGGUGCGACUCCUCGGCGCGGCA
rnacentral:tRNA from 1 species